rnacentral:rRNA from 1 species
GGCGAUUGGGCCGAGUUUGAUCAUGGCUCAGAGCGAACGCUGGCGGCAGGCUUAACACAUGCAAGUCGAGCGGGCGCAGCAAUGCGUCAGCGGCAGACGGGAGAGUAACACGUGGGAACGCGCCCUUCGGUUCGGAAUAACUCAGGGAAACUUGAGCUAAUACCGAAUACGCCCUAACGGGGAAAGAUUUAUUGCCGAAGGAACGGCCCGCGUCUGAUUAGCUAGUUGGUGAGGUAACGGCUCACCAAGGCGACGAUCAGUAGCUGGUCUGAGAGGAUGGCCAGCCUCAUUGGGACUGAGACACGGCCCAAACUCCUACGGGAGGCAGCAGUGGGGAAUAUUGGACAAUGGGCGAAAGCCUGAUCCAGCCAUGCCGCGUGAGUGAUGAAGGCCUUAGGGUUGUAAAGCUCUUUCGCCCACGACGAUAAUGACGGUAGUGGGAGAAGAAGCCCCGGCUAACUUCGUGCCAGCAGCCGCGGUAAU